rnacentral:misc_RNA from 1 species
ACUUCUCGCGCAGUCUCUAUGUCGUCGCACACGACCCCGUGAAUCUGCUGCAGAGUUGGCGCUUUUAUUUUCCUAGCCGUGAUUAUUGAAGCGAAGUAGCGAACGACCGAUUCCUUGGACCUGUUGACGUCUCCCAGCAGCGCGUCCAGCUGAAGCAGCCGCUCGUUCGCGCAGCACGCUAUGUGUUUCAGGCCGUCGAAGGUUACUUUUUGCAUCACGAUUACCGGGGUGUAAACUUUUCGCCUUUUGGCCCCCUGCGUCGCGGUAUUCUCUUCAUCAUCAUCCUCCUGAGCGCGAUCGUAUCGUCCACCAGCGCGAAGAGGUUGUCACCGGGAGCAUCUUUCUUCACGAAGUAUUCCUCCAGCUUCGGCAAAUUCGCAAUCAGGCU